GGUAUACCUAACUCAUAAUCCUUCUCUGUCGUUACUUUCAAAUCUGAGUCUGCGAUGCAGUUUACUUUGGGAAUUGAAGACGUGGUACGGUGGGAGAAAUGGAACAAUCAAAGAUAUGGUUGUUAGAAGGUCAUUAUCAUCUGGUAUGAACUUCUGAAGAACGGUGGAAGCUUGUUUGUUCUUUCAUAAAAAUGGAAAAUGGAUGUGAUAUAUGAAGCUUCAGCAAUUAUGAGUGAAGCUCAAGAACAGGUGGGUGGUUGUUGGAUGCGCACUCGUGGGCUUGAGGCUGCUAGAGCUCGUGGGCUUGAGGCUGCUAGAGCUCGUGGGCUUGGUCGGCUAAUGGGUUGUGGCGUUUGCUGGAGGUUGGGUCUAGAGUUUGAAGACCUGAUCCAACCCGACCUGCAACUUCUUCCUUACCCAAGUAUUUGCAGAUAUGAUGUCCUCUUCGUAGACGAUCUUCCACAGACAAAGACAUGUUUCCACAUCACAUAUAUGCCAGAAUUUUCAUUUAUUGAAAUAAAAUUAGAGAAAUACAGACUAAAUAAACAAAGAGAAGACAAUAAACCUAACUCCAAGCCAUAAAAGAGAUGUUUAGUUUCAAAAUGGAUACAUAAUUACUUCAAAAUAACUAAUAUAGGUAGGGAACAACUACAAUGGGAAGUGAGCAAAAACAGAAACAGAAACACACUGCACAACAAAACACC